rnacentral:ncRNA from 2 species
ACCGGUGACACGGGGUGCCGCCCUCUGGAGAGCGGUGGCUGAGAUGACACCCGUCGAACCUGAUCCAGUUAGCACUGGCGAAGGGAUUGUCCGCGUCGGCGACA